rnacentral:rRNA from 1 species
CUACGGGUGGCUCCAGUGAGGAAUAUUGCACAAUGGGGGGAACCCUGAUGCAGCAACGCCGCGUGGAGGAUGACACAUUUCGGUGCGUAAACUCCUUUUAUAGGUCAAGAUAAUGACGGUAGCCUAUGAAUAAGCGCCGGCUAACUCCGUGCCAGCAGCCGCGGUAAUACGGAGGGCGCAAGCGUUACUCGGAAUCACUGGGCGUAAAGAGCAUGUAGGCGGAUUGUUAAGUUGGAAGUGAAAUCCUAUGGCUUAACCAUAGAACUGCUUCCAAAACUGAUAAUCUAGAGUAUGGGAGAGGUAGAUGGAAUUUCUGGUGUAGGGGUAAAAUCCGUAGAGAUCAGAAGGAAUACCGAUUGCGAAGGCGAUCUACUGGAACAUUACUGACGCUCAGAUGCGAAAGCGUGGGGAGCAAACAGGAUUAGAUACCCGCGUAGUC